GAGUAUAAAGGCAAAAGCGCGCUUGACUGCGAGACAGACACGUCGAGCAGGUACGAAAGUAGGUCUUAGUGAUCCGGUGGUUCUGUAUGGAAGGGCCAUCGCUCAACGGAUAAAAGGUACUCCGGGGAUAACAGGCUGAUACCGCCCAAGAGUUCAUAUCGACGGCGGUGUUUGGCACCUCGAUGUCGGCUCAUCACAUCCUGGGGCUGAAGCCGGUCCCAAGGGUAUGGCUGUUCGCCAUUUAAAGUGGUACGCGAGCUGGGUUUAGAACGUCGUGAGACAGUUCGGUCCCUAUCUGCCGUGGACGUUUGAGAUUUGAGAGGGGCUGCUCCUAGUACGAGAGGACCGGAGUGGACGAACCUCUGGUGUUCCGGUUGUCACGCCAGUGGCAUUGCCGGGUAGCUAUGUUCGGAAAAGAUAACCGCUGAAAGCAUCUAAGCGGGAAACUUGCCUCAAGAUGAGAUCUCACUGGGAACUUGAUUCCCCUGAAGGGCCGUCGAAGACUACGACGUUGAUAGGCUGGGUGUGUAAGCGUUGUGAGGCGUUGAGCUAACCAGUACUAAUUGCCCGUGAGGCUUGACCAUAUAACACCCAAACA
rnacentral:rRNA from 1 species